rnacentral:rRNA from 1 species
UACGGAGGGUGCAAACGUUGCUCGGAAUUAUUGGGCGUAAAGCGCAUGUAGGCGGUCUGUUAAGUCGCGUGUGAAAUCCCCAGGCUCAACCUGGGAAGUGCGCGCGAAACUGGCGGACUUGAGUGCCGGAGAGGGUGGCGGAAUUCCCGGUGUAGAGGUGAAAUUCGUAGAUAUCGGGAGGAACACCAGAGGCGAAGGCGGCCACCUGGACGAACACUGACGCUGAGACGCGAAAGCGUGGGGAGCAAACAGG